GAUGAACGCUGGCGGCGUGCCUAAUACAUGCAAGUCGAGCGGACAGAUAAGGAGCUUGCUCCUUUGACGUUAGCGGCGGACGGGUGAGUAACACGUGGAUAACCUACCUAUAAGACUGGGAUAACUUCGGGAAACCGGAGCUAAUACCGGAUAACAUAUUGAACCGCAUGGUUCAAUAGUGAAAGGCGGCUUUGCUGUCACUUAUAGAUGGAUCCGCGCCGUAUUAGCUAGUUGGUAAGGUAACGGCUUACCAAGGCAACGAUACGUAGCCGACCUGAGAGGGUGAUCGGCCACACUGGAACUGAGACACGGUCCAGACUCCUACGGGAGGCAGCAGUAGGGAAUCUUCCGCAAUGGGCGAAAGCCUGACGGAGCAACGCCGCGUGAGUGAUGAAGGUCUUCGGAUCGUAAAACUCUGUUAUCAGGGAAGAACAAAUGUGUAAGUAACUGUGCACAUCUUGACGGUACCUGAUCAGAAAGCCACGGCUAACUACGUG
rnacentral:rRNA from 1 species